AGAGUUUGAUCCUGGCUCAGGACGAACGCUGGCGGCGUGNUUAACACAUNCAAGUCGAACGAUCAACCACUACGGUGGGGAUUAGUGGCGAGCGGGUGAGUAAUACGUGGGCAAUCUGCCCUUCANUCUGGGACAAGCCAUGGAAACGGGGUCUAAUACGGGAUACUGACCCUUGCAGGCAUCAGCGAGGUUCGGAAGCUCCGNCGGUGAAGGAUGCGCCCGCGGCCUUUCAGCUUGUUGGUGAGGUNAUGGCUCACCAAGGCCACGACGGGUUGCCGGCCUGAGNGGGCGACCGGCCACAAUGGGACUGAGGCACGGCCCAGACUCCUUCGGGAGGCACCAGUGGGGUAUGUUGCANAAUGGGCGAAAGCCGGAUGCAGCGACGGCGCGUGAGCGAUGACGGCCUUCUGGUUGUAAACCUNUUUCNNCAGGGAAGAAGCGAUAGUGACGGUACCUGCCGAAGAAGCGCGGGCU
rnacentral:rRNA from 1 species